CAAUAGCGUAUAUUAAAGUUGUUGCAGUUAAAAAGCUCGUAGUUGGACUUCAAGAAGUUCAGAAAGGAAACUUUACUGACUUCUACCAGUCUUUGACUGUUACUGUGAGAAAAUUAGAGUGUUUCAAGCGGGCAAUUGCAGGAAUACAUUAGCAUGGAAUAACGAAUGUAUCUACAGUUCUGGUUGAUUGUAGAAUACGAUUAAUAGGGACAGUUGGGGGCAUUAGUAUUUAAUUGUCAGAGGUGAAAUUCUUGGAUUUAUUAAAGACUAACGUAUGCGAAAGCAUUUGCCAAGGAUGUUUNCAUUAA
rnacentral:rRNA from 1 species